rnacentral:rRNA from 1 species
UACGGAGGAUCCAAGCGUUGUCCGGAUUUAUUGGGUUUAAAGGGUGCGUAGGCGGAUUUCUAAGUCAGAGGUGAAAGCUUGCAGCUUAACUGUAAAAUAGCCCCUGAAACUGGCAAUCUUGAGUACAUUUGAGGUGGGCGGAAUGUAUCAUGUAGCGGUGAAAUGCUUAGAUAUGAUACAGAACACCAAUUGCGAAGGCAGCUCACUAAACUGUAACUGACGCUGAGGCACGAAAGCAUGGGGAGCAAACAGG